rnacentral:rRNA from 1 species
UACGUAGGGUGCAGGCGUUAAUCGGAAUUACUGGGCGUAAAGCGUGCGCAGGCGGCUCCUUAAGUCAGGUGUGAAAGCCCCGGGCUUAACCUGGGAACUGCGUUUGAAACUGGGGAGCUAGAGUGUGGAAGAGGGGGGUGGAAUUCCAGGUGUAGCAGUGAAAUGCGUAGAGAUCUGGAGGAACACCGAUGGCGAAGGCAGCCCCCUGGGCUAACACUGACGCUCAUGCACGAAAGCGUGGGGAGCAAACAGG